rnacentral:rRNA from 1 species
CCUACGGGAGGCAGCAGUGGGGAAUAUUGCACAAUGGGGGAAACCCUGAUGCAGCGACGCCGCGUGAGUGAAGAAGGAAUUCGGGAUGUAAAGCUCUAUCAUCAGGGAAGAAAAUGACGGUACCUGAUUAAGAAGCCCCGGCUAACUACGUGCCAGCAGCCGCGGUAAUACGUAGGGGGCAAGCGUUAUCCGGAUUUACUGGGUGUAAAGGGCGCGUAGUCGGCGGUGCAAGUCUGAAGUGAAAGGCGGGGGCUCAACCCCCGGACUGCUCUGGAAACUGUGCGGCUGGAGUGCAGGAGAGGUAAGUGGAAUUCCUAGUGUAGCGGUGAAAUGCGUAGAUAUUAGGAGGAACACCAGUGGCGAAGGCGGCUUACUGGACUGUAACUGACGUUGAGGCUCGAAAGCGUGGGGAGCAAACAGGAUUAGAUACCCUAGUAGUC